AAGACAAUGCCACAUACAAACUUGAAAGAUCUCUUCAUCUUUUCUCCAAAUGUUUUUUUUUCGUUUGCUAUUUAUCUCCACAAUUCUUGGAACAAAAACUACAUUCACAAACGAGAGAAUUUUCACAACACCUCUUUUGCUCUCAUUUUUUUUUUUUCGUCCAUUAUGAGUAUUAAUUAUGGUUAGGGAAUCUUACAGAAUGAAAAUGAAGGUGUGAAUGGAUUGUCUCAUCUAAAGCCUUGAAUGUGGG
rnacentral:misc_RNA from 1 species